AAGUCGUAACAAGGUUUCCGUAGGUGAACCUGCGGAAGGAUCAUUAACACGUAUCCACGUAUCAACCAAAUGCGAACUUGUUUUCACCUCCCUGCAUGCACACAUGAGAAGGAAGUGAGGAGACUUUUGAGUGGGACGCAAGUCCGGUCUUUUCACCUAUAUAUUACUUCUGCAGUGUCUGUGUAGGACAAACUUAUCUUAUCUUCUAUAGCUUCCUCAAGGUUAUAGUUGGUAGGAGAACCCAUUAACCAAUUUCACCCCCUUUUUGCUAGUUGACUUUUUAUAUGUUGUUUACAGGACAGAUUUAUUUCUGCACUGCAUUCACACGUUUAAUUUACUUGAACGUUAAAAAUACAACUCUUAGCAAUGGAUAUCUAGGUUCUC
rnacentral:misc_RNA from 1 species